GACGAACGCUGGCGGCGUGCUUAACACAUGCAAGUCGAACGAAGGGCGAUGGAAGCUUGCUUCUAUCAAUCUUAGUGGCGAACGGGUGAGUAACGCGUAAUCAACCUGCCCUUCAGAGGGGGACAACAGUUGGAAACGACUGCUAAUACCGCAUACGAUCUAAUCUCGGCAUCGAGGAUAGAUGAAAGGUGGCCUCUACAUGUAAGCUAUCACUGAAGGAGGGGGAUUGCGUCUGAUUAGCUAGUUGGAGGGGUAACGGCCCACCAAGGCGAUGAUCAGUAGCCGGUCUGAGAGGAUGAACGGCCACAUUGGGACUGAGACACGGCCCAGACUCCUACGGGAGGCAGCAGUGGGGAAUCUUCCGCAAUGGACGAAAGUCUGACGGAGCAACGCCGCGUGAGCGAUGACGGCCUUCGGGUUGUAAAGCUCUGUUAAUCGGGAUGAAAGGCCUUCUUGCGAAUAGUGAGAAGGAUUGACGGUACCGGAAUAGAAAGCCACGGCUAACUACGUGCCAGCAGCCGCGGUAAUACGUAGGUGGCAAGCGU
rnacentral:rRNA from 1 species